rnacentral:lncRNA from 1 species
UGUGUCUUUGGCCAUAUUCAUCAAAGCAUCAAAGGUUAUUCAAAAAAAAAAAACUACUUGGAUGAAGCAGAACCUUUUCUAAGGUUCUCCACAGAACUUUCCUUAACUACAUCAAUCAGCUCCAUCACGGCUCUCGCCCUGCAGCCGUCUGGCUCCUGCUGUCUUGUUGUGCCAUU